rnacentral:rRNA from 1 species
AUUGAACGCUGGCGGCAGGCCUAACACAUGCAAGUCGAGCGGACGAAGGGAGCUUGCUCCUGGAUUCAGCGGCGGACGGGUGAGUAAUGCCUAGGAAUCUGCCUGGUAGUGGGGGGUAACGUCCGGAAACGGGCGCUAAUACCGCAUACGUCCUGAGGGAGAAAGUGGGGGAUCUUCGGACCUCACGCUAUCAGAUGAGCCUAGGUCGGAUUAGCUAGUUGGUGGGGUAAAGGCCUACCAAGGCGACGAUCCGUAACUGGUCUGAGAGGAUGAUCAGUCACACUGGAACUGAGACACGGUCCAGACUCCUACGGGAGGCAGCAGUGGGGAAUAUUGGACAAUGGGCGAAAGCCUGAUCCAGCCAUGCCGCGUGUGUGAAGAAGGUCUUCGGAUUGUAAAGCACUUUAAGUUGGGAGGAAGGGCAGUAAGUUAAUACCUUGCUGUUUUGACGUUACCAACAGAAUAAGCACCGGCUAACUUCGUG